ACACACCGAGCGGGAGAGUCCUCGGCCCGAGAGGGACCGGGGCGCCGAAGGGGCAAACUCCCCGGAACCUCUCAGGCGCAAAGGACCGCUCGGAUCAG
rnacentral:ncRNA from 2 species